GGGGUUGUAGUUAAGAAUAACAUUUGAUUUGCAUUCAAAAAGUAUUGAAUUGUCAAUCUUCCUUU
rnacentral:tRNA from 1 species